rnacentral:rRNA from 1 species
GGAAUUGACGGGGGGCCCGCACAAGGCGGUGGAGCAUGUGGUUUAAUUCGAAGCAACGCGCAGAACCUUACCAGCUCUUGACAUUCGGGGUAUGGGCAGUGGAGACAUUGUCCUUCAGUUCGGCUGGCCCCAGAACAGGUGCUGCAUGGCUGUGGUCAGCUCGUGUCGUGAGAUGUUGGGUUAAGUCCCGCAACGAGCGCAACCCUCGCCCUUAGUUGCCAGCAUUCAGUUGGGCACUCUAAGGGGACUGCCGGUGAUAAGCCGAGAGGAAGGUGGGGAUGACGUCAAGUCCUCAUGGCCCUUACGGGCUGGGCUACACACGUGCUACAAUGGUGGUGACAGUGGGCAGCGAGACCGCGAGGUCGAGCUAAUCUCCAAAAGCCAUCUCAGUUCGGAUUGCACUCUGCAACUCGAGUGCAUGAAGUUGGAACCGCUAGUAAUCGCAGAUCAGCAUGCUGCGGUGAAUACGUUCCCGGGCCUUGUACACACCGCCCGUCACACCAUGGGAGUUGGUUUUACCCGAAGGUAGUGCGCUAACCGCAAGGAGGCAGCUAACCACGGUAGGGUCAGCGACUGGGGUGAAGUCGUAACAAGCUAACC